rnacentral:lncRNA from 1 species
UGAAGGUGGUUCAUAGGACGAGUUGGAGGUUUUGGAUUUAAGUUCCAUUUGCUUUGUCCUCUUCUUUCAAGUUAACUUACUGUUUCUUUAUGCAAUUGUUUAAGUCAGAAUCUGAAACUAAAAAUUGUAGGGAUGUAGGGAUAGUUUGGCAUUAUUGAGAUGUAAACGUAUUGUAUGGUAUUAAUAUAAUAUUUUUUAUAAUUGGCAUUACAAAGAAUUAUUGGGAUG